rnacentral:misc_RNA from 1 species
GGAAAUAAAAGUCGUAACAAGGUUUCCGUAGGUGAACCUGCGGAAGGAUCAUUAUUGAAUGAAACACUUCUGGCUUUAUGCUGUUGUGCUGGCCCUUUGGGCAAUGUGCACACGGCUCUGGUCACUUGUUUCUUCUGUUCCACCUGUGCACUGCCUGUAGACACGCUGUGUCUAUGAUAUUUGUUAACACACAACAAUGUUAGUCGGCAUGUUAUAUAUAAUAAUAAAAUAUACAACUUUCAACAACGGAUCUCUUGGCUCUC